rnacentral:misc_RNA from 1 species
GUUUGCUAUAUUUAGAACUAGGAAUUUUUAAGUACAAUGAACUUUGUAUUAGCUGCAUUUCAAAAAACUAGUGUGGCCAACAACUAAAAAAAUAAAAUACAAAGGUAUGUGAUUACAACAUAAGCGGCCAAGUGUUAUGUUUUGCCGCAAUCUCUGCUAGUCAACCUCUCAUGACCAGUAAAAAACAAAAGCCUAUGUAUAAAACUCAUCAAAUUAAGUAUGUCUACCAGCAGCUUUGCCACAAAGAAGAGCAUUAGUUGGUAUGUCAUAUUCAUUAGCUAGACUUGGGGUUGGGUCGUACACUCUGAGGUACACUUGUUGUCCAAGAUAUUGUCUAUCCCACAUAGCUGAUCUCAAAUUCCACAUUCCUUGGUUGUCCAAGGACACCAAUAUCGCAGUCCAAGAUUUGGGAUAUACCUGUGUAGUAUGUCUAGUCAGAGCAUCAACAAGAUUGUACUUAUUUCUACUUGCUUGUGUCCAUUUGCCAGAUCCAAAACCUACAACCCAGAAAUCAUAGCCAUCAAGAUGCCAGGAUUGCAUGGUGGCCUCAUCGUUUUGGAAAACAAUUUCGAUGAAAUCAUGGUGAGAAGUUGGAAAUACAGCUGUGCCUAAGUUAGGCAAACCACCAGAGGGAUAAGCUUGAAUGGAGUUCAAGUUGAACACUCCGGGGAUGUUGAAGUGAUCAGCAAGCUUAAGUGGAGUAUCAGGAUUAACAUAAGACACACUAUUGACAGCAUAUCUCAGCUUUCCAUUGAUAAGAGGUGCUGAAUUAGCGAUAACAAAAGUCCUUGAUAUUGUAAUUUUUCCAUAAUGGAAUGAACCCUGAGGAUUUGGCCUAGCUGCAUUUGAUGUCAGAUUCCACCUAAAUGUUCUGGCUUGCAACAUCGACCAAUGCAUUUGUCCAGUUGGAGCAGGUGGCACGGGUCCAGAAACGGGUGUCUGAGAGUUAGUGUAGUGGAGAACUGAAGUGGCAGUAAAACUUAUCCUGGAGAACCUUGUAGAAGCAACAAUAUAGUAGUCCUUUGGAGGCUGAUCUAAUGUGACAAGGACAGACAUAGAUUGACCAACAUGGACAUCAACAGAAUCAUAGAAGUUCUGCAAGACGUGGGAUCCUUCAAUCUCAACAACCCUCAUCUUAUGGCCCUGAAUUCUGAAGUUAAUGGAAUUUUUCAAGCCUACAUUUGAAAUCCUGAACAUAUAUGUCUUUCCUUGAUCACCACUGAAGGUAGACUGCUUCUGUCCAUUUAUUAGGAGGUCAUUUGGGUAAGGAAGAGACCUCCCUGAGUCCAAUAUUUGCCUCAAUACCUUAUGACUGCUCUUGUACCAAUCACCAAUAAGUAAACUGAAAUCUCCAACAGGUUUAGCAUAUGGAACUGGGAUUACAGAUCUCGCAUACACGUUAAGUGCUCCGAAACCUCCAACAGCUCUAUGCAAUUGAGUUGAAGGGAAAUAUGUGUAACUUCCAAUCUGGUCUUUUGUUUGGAACUUGUAAGUGUAAUUUGAAUUUAUAGGAAUGGGACAGUUUGUUCCCAAAACUCCAUCUUGCCAAGAAUUCUUUCUUUGUUUGAUUCCAUUCCAUGUCAACAGAAGAGGUUCAUCCAACUUAUUAAUCAGAUUGAGAAUUACAUUGUCAUUUGUAACAAGGUCAAGUCUUGGACCAGGAAAUUGACCAUUAAUGAGGAUCACCUGUUGAGGAACACCAAGAGGAUAAAGAGUUCCAUAAGUAGCAGUCCAUGUGAAAUAUUUAUAAGUAUCCUCUGCUUUCACCAGAGAAACACUCCAAAAAAUGAAAAUUCCACAAAUCAAAUGAAAAAGUGCAACAUUCCCCAUUGGAGCAAUGCUUAAAGAAAUAGUUGUAAAAAUAGAAAGAAUGAAUGAAGAACUGUAUGAUAGAUCUAGUGAGGAUUAAAC